AGCUGCAGAAGAAGCACCGGCUAACUCCGUGCCAGCAGCCGCGGUAAUACGGAGGUGCGAGCGUUAAUCGGAAUUACUGGGCGUAAAGCGCAUGCAGGUGGUUUGUUAAGUCAGAUGUGAAAGACCCGGGGCGUCAACCUACGGAAUUGCAUUUGUAAACUGGCAAACUAGAGUACUGUAGAGGGGGGUAGGAAUUUCAGGUGUAGCGGUGAAAUAGCGUAGAGAUCUGAAGGAAUACCGGUGGCGAAGGCGGCCCCCUCGGACAGAUACUGACACUCAGAUGCGAAAGCGUGGGGAGCAAACAGGAUUAGAUACCCUGGUAG
rnacentral:rRNA from 1 species